AUUGCCUCAGUAACGGCGAGUGAAGCGGCAAGAGCUCAAAUUUGAAAUCUGGCCCCUCCGGGGUCCGAGUUGUAAUUUGCAGAGGAUGCUUCGGGUGCGGUCCCCAUCUAAGUGCCCUGGAACGGGCCGUCAUAGAGGGUGAGAAUCCCGUCUGGGAUGGGCGGCCGCGCCCGUGUGAAGCUCCUUCGACGAGUCGAGUUGUUUGGGAAUGCAGCUCUAAGCGGGUGGUAAAUUUCAUCUAAAGCUAAAUACUGGCCGGAGACCGAUAGCGCACAAGUAGAGUGAUCGAAAGAUGAAAAGCACUUUGAAAAGAGAGUUAAANAGCACGUGAAAUUGUUGAAAGGGAAGCGUUGUCCACCAGACUCGCCCGGGGGGGCUCAGCCGGCACGUGUGCCGGUGUACUCCUCUCCGGGCGGGCCAGCAUCGGUUUGGGCGGCUGGUGAAAGGCCCCGGGAAUGUAACACCCUCCGGGGUGCCUUAUAGCCCGGGGUGCCAUGCAGCCAGCCUGGACCGAGGCCCGCGCUUCGGCGAGGAUGCUGGCGUAAUGGUGGUCAACGGCCCGUCUUGAAACACGGACCAAGGAGUCUAACAUCUAUGCGAGUGUUCGGGUGUCAAACCCGUCCGCGCAGUGAAAGCGAACGGAGGUGGGAGCCCCUCGGGGCGCACCAUCGACCGAUCCUGAAGUCUUCGGAUGGAUUUGAGUAAGAGCAUAGCUGUUGGGACCCGAAAGAUGGUGAACUAUGCCUGAAUAGGGCGAAGCCAGAGGAAACUCUGGUGGAGGCUCGCAGCGGUUCUGACGUGCAAAUCGAUCGUCAAAUUUGGGUAUAGGGGCGAAAGACUAAUCGAACCAUCUGGUAGCUGGUUCCUGCCGAA
rnacentral:rRNA from 1 species